rnacentral:rRNA from 1 species
CGAGCAACCUGCCCUUGACUCUGGAAUAACAGUUGGAAACAGCUGCUAAUACCGGAUAUGACCUCUGACGACAUCAUCUGGAGGUGGAAAGCUCCGACGGUCAAGGAUGGGCUCGCGGCCUAUCAGCUUGUUGGUGAGGUAACGGCUCACCAAGGCUUCGACGGGUAGCCGGCCUGAGGAGGGCGACCGGCCACACGUGGGACUGAGAUACCGGCCCAGACCUCUACGGGGA